CCAUUUAGUUUGGUUGAUUUGGGUCCCGCCACGAAAACUCUUGCGCUACCGUUUUUUUCGUGGCGGGACCCGAAAAAGAGGGAAGUAUGUCAUGUUUGUACUUAUUUUGAAGCUCUCGAUGAGAUAAACGCAGUUUUGUUUGAGAUAAUGACUAAAAAAAGACAUUUAAAAUUUUAGAAUUUUUUUUCGAAAUUUUUUUUUUCAGAAAAUGAAACAAUUUUCA
ensembl:ncRNA Y55F3BR.12 ncRNA